rnacentral:rRNA from 1 species
CCAAUAGCGUAUAUUAAAGUUGCUGCAGUUAAAAAGCUCGUAGUUGAAUUUCGGGACCAAUAUGUCGGUCGUGCCUCAGUACGUACUGGCAUCGUUGGUUUCUCCCUUCUGACGAACCAUGAUGUCAUUUAUUUGGUGUCGUGGGGAAUCAGGACUGUUACUUUGAAAAAAUUAGAGUGUUUAAAGCAGGCUCAUGCUUG